rnacentral:rRNA from 1 species
UCUCCAGACUCCUACGGGAGGCAGCAGUGAGGAAUAUUGGUCAAUGGGCGGGAGCCUGAACCAGCCAAGUCGCGUGAGGGACGACGGUCCUAUGGAUUGUAAACCUCUUUUGUCGGGGAACAAAGGCGCCCACGGGUGGGCGGAUGAGUGUACCCGAAGAAAAAGCAUCGGCUAACUCCGUGCCAGCAGCCGCGGUAAUACGGAGGAUGCGAGCGUUAUCCGGAUUUAUUGGGUUUAAAGGGAGCGUAGGUGGAUUGUUAAGUCAGUUGUGAAAGUUUGCGGCUCAACCGUAAAAUUGCAGUUGAAACUGGCAGUCUUGAGUACAGUAGAGGUGGGCGGAAUUCGUGGUGUAGCGGUGAAAUGCUUAGAUAUCACGAAGAACUCCGAUUGCGAAGGCAGCUCACUGGACUGCAACUGACACUGAGGCUCGAAAGUGUGGGUAUCAAACAGGAUUAGAUACCCCGGUAA